rnacentral:tRNA from 2 species
GGCCCGGUAGCUCAACGGAUAGAGCAUCCCGCUUCUAACGGGAAGGUUGAGCGUUCGAUUCGCUCCCGGGUCACCA